UUAAUUGAAGCCAAAUAGAGGCAUAUCACUGUUAAUGAUAUUAUUGAAUUUUUAUUCCAAUUAAA
rnacentral:tRNA from 1 species